UACGGGGGGGGCAAGCGUUGUUCGGAAUUACUGGGCGUAAAGGGCUCGUAGGCGGCCAACUAAGUCAGACGUGAAAUCCCUCGGCUUAACUGGGGAACUGCGUCUGGGACUGGAUGGCUUGAGUGCAGGAGAGGAACGCGGAAUUCCAGGUGUAGCGGUGAAAUGCGUAGAUAUCUGGAGGAACACCGGUGGCGAAGGCGGCGUUCUGGACUGCAACUGACACUGAGGAACGAAAGCCAGGGGAGCAAACGGG
rnacentral:rRNA from 1 species